GACGAACGCUGGCGGCGUGCCUAAUACAUGCAAGUCGAACGCAGUGGGGACGGGUGAGUAACACGUGGGUAACCUCCCAUCAGAGGGGAUAACACUUGGAAACAGGUGCUAAACCGAUACUGAUUGAUGGACCCGCGGUGCAUUAGCUAGUUGGUGGGGUAACGGCUCACCAAGGCCACGAUGCAUAGCCGGGCUGAGAGGGUGAUCGGCCACACGGGGACGGCGAAACGGUCCAGACUCCUACGGGAGGAAGCAGUGGGGAAUCGUCGGCAAUGGGCGAAAGUCUGACGGAGCAACGCCGCGUGAGUGAAGAAGGUUUUCGGAUCGUAAAGCUCUGUUGUUAGAGAGGCGGUAUCUAACGAGAAAGCCACGGCUAACUACGUGCCAGCAGCCGCGGUAAUUC
rnacentral:rRNA from 1 species